rnacentral:rRNA from 1 species
GAUGAACGCUGGCGGCGUGCCUAAUACAUGCAAGUCGAGCGAACGGACGAGAAGCUUGCUUUUCUGAUGUUAGCGGCGGACGGGUGAGUAACACGUGGAUAACCUACCUAUAAGACUGGGAUAACUUCGGGAAACCGGAGCUAAUACCGGAUAAUAUUCUGAACCGUAUGGUUCAAAAGUGAAAGACGGUCUUGCUGUCACUUAUAGAUGGAUCCGCGCUGCAUUAGCUAGUUGGUAAGGUAACGGCUUACCAAGGCAACGAUGCAUAGCCGACCUGAGAGGAUGAUCGACCACCCUGGAACUUAGACACGGUCCAGACUCCUACGAGAGGCAGCAGUAGGGAAUCUUCCGCGAUGGGCGGAAGCCUGACGGAGCAACGCCGCGUCAGUGAUGAAGGUCUUCGGAUCGUAAAACUCUGUUAUUAGGGAAGAACAUAUGUGUAAGUAACUGUGCACAUCUUGACGGUACCUAAUCAGAAAGCCACGGCUAACUACGUG